rnacentral:rRNA from 1 species
GACAGAGGGUGCAAACGUUGUUCGGAAUUACUGGGCGUAAAGCGUGUGUAGGCGGUCUGACAAGUCGGACGUGAAAGCCCCGGGCUCAACCCGGGAAGUGCGCUCGAUACUGCCAGACUUGAGUGUCGGAGAGGUUGGUGGAAUUCUCGGUGUAGAGGUGAAAUUCGUAGAUAUCGAGAGGAACACCUGCGGCGAAGGCGGCCAACUGGACGAACACUGACGCUGAGACACGAAAGCGUGGGGAGCAAACAGG